UCUGAAUAUUUAUAUUGCUUCCUACUUUCAUAAACCAUGCUGUCAUCAACCCUCUUGUAUUAGAGCUUUAUACCCCAUCAUUAAUUAGUUCCUUAGGAUAAAUUUCCAGAUGUGGGUAAAAGAACAUACGUAAAUUGUUAAGCUUUUAAACAUAAAUAUAUUGUUUAAUAAUAAUACCUCCCUUACAAUGUUGUUAUGAGGGUUAAGCGAGCUAGACCAUGUAAACCAAUUUUAUUAGUUCAAGUAAAGUUAAUAAGACUUCAGAUAGUAGUGCCUGGCAUAGAGAGGCACCCUGCAAAUGUCAUCUAUUAUUAGUAGUAGUAUCACUUCUUAGUUCAUCUCCAGCACUGUUACACUAACUUAUACUCCAAUUAACAACGUCUAAGAAGUGCCAUUUGCAGCAUACUCCCUCUAAUACUAUUAUAUUUAGAGCCCUUUCGAAUUUCAUGUGCAAAAGCAGCUUCUUGUUAUUGUUGGUUUCAUCUGACCAUAGCUCAUUUGUUUUCUUACAUUCAGGAUUAGUUUUCCUUGGAUAGAUUUGUCAUAACUUCUGCCUAUAUCCACACGUAGAGAGAGAGUUGAGUCAUUUUUCACUGAAAUGUUUACAACAAUCAAAGACCAUUUGUAUCAGUCACCUUUCCUUGGUUAGAUUGUUACAACAAUCUGAAAGUCUCAGUGGCUUACAACAAAUAUCUAUUCUCACUCACAGUCCAUGUGAGAACCUGGGCUAAAAGAGCAGUGUCCAUUGGUGACAUGCCUUUCUCAUGGAUGACAGAAAAGGGCAAGUGAUCAAGAAUAAGAGUGAAGUCUCCAAUAACUUCUACCCUCACCAAUCUUCUGUUCACAUCUCAUUUUGCUCACGACAAAGUAAGUCAUGGCACAAGCCCAAUAUUAGUGGAAAGUAGGUUCCAACCAUGAGGGACACUGCAUGUCACACAGCAAUGGGUGGGGAUUGAAAGGAGAGCAAUGAUUGAGAACAAUAACACGAUCUACCCCAGUAGUCAAUCAAUCCGUUAAGUCAAACUGGUUAUGUGGCUCCACCCACCUGGAGUCAGGGAUCUUUCCCUGGGACCCAUUAUAAUUCUUACAGGAGUGUUAUGACUCCUGCCCCCUAAGGGAGAUGCUGGGGUGCUGACCUGCUUCCGAGUUGCCCUGAGGAUAAAUGGAUCCAGAGAAACUCAGCUUAAAGUAAAUACAGCUACAUCUCCACUCCCUGCAUGAAGGUACAAACUCGCCCAUCAAAGAAAAUAACUUUGUAUCUAAAGAAAUCAUCUCAUCGUCGACCAAUGAGGAAAUGACAAAGCCCUGGAUGCUCUGGCAGCCACCAAACAGAUGAAAGCUACCUUGAUUCUCUAGGAAAGAUGAUAUGACGGUCCCCUUAGAACAGGGGAGAGAGGGGUUUAUAUCCUGGCUGCAUCACCUGUAUGAUCAAUAGCUGCUGCCAUCAUCCUCCCCAUCGUGAUCGUCAUCACUGCUGCCACCAGCAUCUUUAAGGUCAAGCCAGCUGCCAUGCUCCGAACCCAGCCAACAGCACCCUGGAUGGCCAAAGAGGCAUCUCCACCCCAGAGGACUGACUCUUGUCCUAAAGAAAUGAGCCACAGGCUCUGGUUGCCUGACCAACUGGAAAAUCACGAAGCCGUGAGAUUGCCUAAAAAUGUAUUCCUACACUCCUAACACUAGAGAGUUUUUGAAUUAAUAAACGUGUAUUAAAAUCACAAGCCUAUUCCACUCCGAGCCUCAAGAAAGGAUUCUAGGAACAUGGAAAACGAAAAGGAGAGAUGCCUGUUUCCCAUGGCAAGUCACUUCCUAUUGGCAUUAUUUAUUUAUAUAACAAGUCUUUCUGGACUGGUUAAGGGAACUGCCAAUUAUACGCACCACCUUUCUCCAGGUUACAGAGAAGCAUGACGUUUCUUCUUGCUUCAUGUGGGAGCACCUGGGCUGGAAACCCUUGUCCUGACAACCGGACUCUUCCCCGGGUUUGUCUGCCUCUGGAAGGAUUCAGUGCUCAUUCUGAACCAACGGCAAAGAAAGGAAAAAAAUAUGAUCCUUUUCCAUCCCAUGGGGCUACUGAAUUUGCCUGAGCUUUUGAAAUGGUCAGGAAUGAAAGUACAGUAUUUUCUUCUUUAUCCAUUUUCAGACUCUAAGAAUUCAAGGACCAGCUGAAAUCCCGCCUCUGCUGUGAAGCCUUUUGUCAUCACGCAUGAUAUUCCUUCCUCCAAAACCCAACGGGUAUUUCCUGACUUUACUACCCCUUCGUCGGCUCCGCCUUCACUCCUGGUGAUGUCAGUUAACUUCCAGAGUGGACUGCAGCAGGUAGGGAUUAUACAGGUUCAGGCCAACCUCCCUCUUUCAGGGUGCACAGCAAUUGGUUCAGGGGUAAGCCUGCGAUGCCAGCACGACUAUUCAGCAUUUGCUCUGCAUAAUUAAAAUUAAAGUUGGAAGAGAGACCCUCCAUCUUCUCUGGGUCAUGAGGUAUAAGGAGAGUUUAGGCCUGGAAUUUCUUAAGACUCUCUUCCCUGGACUUGGGCAGAAAGCUCAGACUGAAAGAUGGAGAGCCCUAAUGACAUGAUUUGAACCCCUAGAUCCAGCUAUGCCUGAAGUUCUUAUCCCAGACUUCCCAGUUACAUGAGGAAAAUAAAUUCCGUUUUCUGCUUCAGUGAAUUUGAGUUGGUUCUUGUUAUCUACAACCUAAGUGACUAAUGUGCUCACUCAGAAUUCUUUAAGAAAAAGGAUGCUUAAGGUAAGGAGGCUCUGGACCUCAAAGCCCCCAGAAUCUUUGUGUCUUGCUGCUCUGCUCUUGUCAUUGUGUGAUUGAAGCUGACUGCCUCCCUCUUUGGAUUCCAGCUGGGAACAGAGAGAGCACGUGGGGCAGUGCACGGCCAGUGUCUGAAGGCCCGGCCCUGGAGCUGGGGCAACUGCCUCCCUCAGGGUCAUGUGGUCAGUAGUCAAUGACGUGGCUACACCUGCAGGGGCAGCUGGGACAUGUAGUCCAUCCAGGCUGUUGUGUGUCCAGCCAUGACUGUUCCCGAAAGAAAGAUGUGGAUGUACAACUGUCAGUGUCUGUAGAAUAAAAAACGCCAAGUCCACAUGAAGUGCUUGCAAAGUUGGAAGUGAGGUGGGGAAAAGCUGGACCAUAAGUAAAAAGAACUAGUUAGCAGUGCUCCACCUGGUCUGCUGUAGCAGUAUGUUACCAGUCAACUUAGCUAAGCCUGAACGACAUUCCACAGAGCUCCUCUCCUCAUGGGGCUCCACGCUGGGGUUGGCCAUGAAGACUUUAACCUGAGAUUGGGCAGCUGGCAGUGAAGCAGCAGCCUGAACACUUGGAGGGUUGUGCAGGGCCCCAUGCGUGGGGCAGUUUGUGGGCACUGCUGCUCUCCUGCCAGCUCACCUGCUGCAUGGGGUGGCAGCCUGCAGCUUCGCCCCAAGUGCCCAGCCUCCUCUGAGAUGCUCCAAGUCCUUGGCCCAGGGCAAGCCUGGCUACGUGGUAAAGGGCACCAGCAGCUUCCGUGGGUCCCCACGCACGGAAGUUGGAGGCUAUGGGAGACAGACACGGGCUCCAGCUGGCCUCGCAGCUCCCAGCCUCUCUGUACCUUAACCUUGAUGUUUCUCAACCUCAGGGAGUGUUGCUGUUUUAAAGCAGAAGACUGUUGUGUGGAGCUGUCCUGUGCCCUGCGGGGGUGUUGGGCGGCAUGCCUGGCCUCUACAUCCUGGAUGCCAGUCGCAGCCUUCGCCGCAGUUGUGAGAACCCAAACUGUCUCCGGACAUUGCCAAAGGUCUCCUGGGGAGCAGAUCAGAUCACUCCCAGUUGAGACCCAGUGUCUUCACAUAUAAGGUUUUCUUCUCAGUUCCUGGCCUCGUGACCUAUAGCAACUUCCGGCCCACCUUCGCACCAGUGGCCUGUGUCUCGGAGACUUGCUGAGACCUUGCCACCAGCUCCCACAGUCACAGAGAGCCUAAAACUCCACAAUCCGUCCCUUAUGUCGGGUUCCCCAGAGCUGUUCCGAUCAGGGCUGUAUCAUGACUUCGAUGGGCUCAAGUGUGCAUUUGCCUUCAGGGGCCUCUUCCUCCACAAAAAAUUUAAAAAUGAUAUGUUAAAGCUAUUUUGGUAUAAUAACAAAUAUUAAUAUUACAUAGACUGGAUUUAUUAUUAGAUAUUUGUUUAUACUUUUUUUUUUUUUUUUUAUGGCUGCACCCUGCAGCACAUGGAAGUUCCCCGGGCUAGGGACUGAAUCCAAGCCUCAGCUGUGACCUACACUGCCGCUGUGGCAAUGCCAGAUCCUUUUAACCUGCUGCACCAAGCCGGGGAUGGAAUCCCUGCCUCCACCGUGACCAAAGCUACUGCAGUCAGGUUCUUAAUCCACUGCACCACAGCAGGAACUAUUAUAUGUUUUUUCAUUAAAAGUAAAGCUUUUAUGGCCCCCUGCAAGUAAGGUGUGCUCUAGGCAUUACAUAUUUGAAUGGAAGACUCAGCCUUCCGCCUGCUUCUUCCCCAAAGCUUGACUAACGGGUACCUUCAGUCGCACAAUUCUCUUCCUUGUAAUCAGAACAAAAACACGCCCUGCAGUGAUUUGCUUCUUUGGAGACCAACCUGAGCCAGGGAAGGAACUCCACGUACUUGAGGCUGCAGUCAGUGGAGCAGAACAAAAUAGGGUGAGGGCCCUCCAGGAGUUUGCCUCUGAGCCUCCUAGCGGGCCAACAGAAAUGAUGGUUGCUGUUUAGGGAAUUCAGGGCAAAAGAUGAGCAUGCAAUACAACUCCCUUUUAAAAACGUCAAAGAAAACAAGUGUGUCUCAAGGUGAAAUUGCCGACAUGUGUUUUCUAUGUAUUUACCAUUAGAUCGUUAAUAAUCGGAUAUAAAUCAUCCAGUGCAAUCAGAUGAUCCAAUCCCGGGGCCCCUUUCCCCACCUGGUGCCGGCUGCUUCUGAUUAGCUUGGGGCCCCGCUGCCCUGACGAACAAUGGGCUCCUCUCGGGUCCGUGGAGGACAGGAAAUUAAGCCAUCAGGCACCUUGCCUAUUAUUUCCAUGCUAUCCUCAAGCUGUAAAUCCAUCAACUAUGAAAGGGAGAAGCAUAAAUGGAGGCCAAAGAGGAGGAAGUUGGAGAUGCAGUUUUAUUUGCCACACCACCUCUCAGAAAGUUUGUCCACAAAUGCUCAGUAUUCACUCUGGCAUUAAAAUACCUGCUUCACAGCAGAUGUGUUCUAGACGGACACACUGUAGAUGCUAAGACGUCUGCAGCAAAGCACCAAAUGUUUCUUUUAGCAAGAACUUUGCUUUUAUCUCUGGAAGUAUCAGGAAACCAUUUUGAGUCGAGCCACCAAAAUAAAGGCAGUGGAGUUUUGAGAUAAAUGUUAGGAAAAUUGUGUAAAACAUUAUAUCAAAACCCUUGGCACUGUCGAAAAGCAAGAUUUCUGAAUCCAAUGAGUAGCUGCAGAAGAAAAUUCAGUUCCAUUUUUUCACUUUGUCUGCCAAUUUUAUAGCACUUCAUUUAAAAUGGAAUCUCUAAAGAAUCAAUUCAAAUUAGCUUUACAGUUUUCCCCAAAGAAUCGGCUUUAAAAUAAAUUGAAUUGGCGCAUGUGACAUAAUAAGUGAGCAUAAAAUUCAUGUUAACUAGUCCGAAGGAAAAACUUCUCAUCAUAAGGAAACAAAUAAUCUCACAUGACUGAGCUAAAAAUAGUCUUUAGAUUGUCGGUUUCAAAAUGGAACAAAAAUAGGGAGAGUUGUUAUAAUAAUGAUAUGGCACAUUUCCUCCUAAUGAAAUGGCCUUGAAUUUUUGUAAUAAAUUACAGAAAGAGAAUCCUUUGGGCAAAAAUAAGGGACCAGACAUGAGUUGCUUUCAUCAAUAGAGUGACAGCAAUGCAAAUACCUUCCAGCUGGGAGUGAGCAGCCCUGGCUGGUGGCUUCAUUACUGAAGACAGGGCAGAGCUGGGGGGAGCCGUGGUUAGAGUGACGACCAGCCUCCAUCACCUGCUGCCCCUUGACUGCAAAACAGCGCUGUGUUUGCUUUGUUUUGCUCAGCCACAUUUAGACAAACAUUUAUUUGAAAUCUCUUUAUUUGGGACUUCCCUGGUAGCUCAGGAGGUUAAAGAUCCGGGGUCACCACUGCUGGGGUGAGGGUUUGACCACUAGCUCGGGAACUUCUGUAUGCUGUGGGAAUGG
rnacentral:lncRNA from 1 species